CAGCCGCCGCUGGAAUACAGAGGGUGCAAGCGUUAAUCGGAAUUACUGGGCGUAAAGUGCGCGUAGGUGGUUUGUUAAGUUGGAUGUGAAAUCCCCGGGCUCAACCUGGGAACUGCAUCCAAAACUGGCAAGCUAGAGUAUGGUAGAGGGUGGUGGAAUUUCCUGUGUAGCGGUGAAAUGCGUAGAUAUAGGAAGGAACACCAGUGGCGAAGGCGACCACCUGGACUGAUACUGACACUGAGGUGCGAAAGCGUGGGGAGCAAACAGGAUUAGAUACCCCAGUAGUCCCUGUCUCUUAUAA
rnacentral:rRNA from 1 species